GCCCCGGUAGUGUAGCGGUCAUCAUGCGAGCCUGUCGAGCUCGCGACCCGAGUUCAAAACCGUGCCGGUGCA
rnacentral:tRNA from 1 species